AUAGCUAUCCUGUAACUAUCUUUUUGUUUCUUGAGAAAACUGCAUUUUGAUCCAAUUUUCCCCAAACCAGGUUUGUUACAAAUUGAGAAAAAGAAUGACCUAGCAGUGUUUUAGAUAAUGCAUACACAUUACUUUCAGCUGAAAGUAGUAUCAUGGAGUUUUUGAUACACCAUUUGUCUUUUCUCUAUGACAAGGCGGUUCUGGAGAUCAUAGUUGAUGACUAUCUCUGACAAGUCAGUUACAUUGUAAACACAAUAUUUUUGACACCUAUCUUUCUGGGGAGCAAUACCACCACAUUCAUAAUUAACAUUCAAAUAUGGAAAACAGCUUAAGGGAAACAAAUGGGGUUUGCUGUACCAUUAACCUUAGCAAAGAUUUAUUUCCUGGAACUAAUGCUUGAAACAUAUUUUUGAUCAAAGAACUUUACCAACAUCAAUUCCUGUCUUUGUCUCUUUUUCAGAAAUCCAUUGGUCUGGCUGGUUUUUGUCAGUUUGUUCAUUGUCCUUCUUGGCUGUCAUAGCUUAAUCUGUUCAAGUGUCUCGAAGAGAAGUUGGCUAUGAAGAGAGCUUCAGAAAACCGCACGAGCUUUUAGGCAUCCUUCACCCCAUUCUAGGGAAGCUUUGAGUUUCUCUCCCACAGCCAGAGAGAGGCCUUAGAGCUGAGGCACUGUGUCACAUGGUUCCUCAAAAGUUUGUGUUUGUGCGAAGGUACCAGAGUCUCCUGAGUAUUGCCUGAAGAUCAGAACCAAGGGGUGGACUACAAACGAUAGCACCUGGCAAAUCCCUCGGUGAUGCAAGCGGUUCUAGUCCCAGCUUGAACAAUGGGAAGAGUUCCCAAGGAAACCUGCAAAUUCAACAAAGAUAACCCCAAUGUGUCAGAAGCUCUACAGCGCGGAAUGGUAAUGCACUGUCCUUUCCAUCCAAAUUGGUAAGGGUAUCUAAUUAAUUUGGCAGAGUUUUCCAGCCCUCAAUUACAGCAUCUGUUGCAGCACGGAACAAUCCAGAGCAACCAUCUGUCUUUCUACAUGUAAAAUGAAUGGAUGAGCAAAGAUAUAAUUUUAUUUUAGCUGCAGAGGGUAGGAACGAGCAUGAUACCCAGGCUGAAGCUGUACACUUCAAAUUGUCAAGGUUAAUUACCAGAGAAAUAUACAGAGCUGCAUAUUGGGCUGGAGUAGGCUUGGUGUUCCGUGCCAAAGCACAGUUGGAAGGAGAUUAGCAACGAGCAAGUUAUACAGGAUCAUACAGGUUUCAUUAUAUUGGAUGUAUAAAUCUCUUUACCUCUUCCAGCUAAUCAGUGCUCAUCCCGGUUGCCCACCUGAGGCCCAUCUUUCUGCCAAGAGCAUCUUGGGCAAGAGAAGCAAAAGGGAAGUGUGCAACAUCCGCUGCGUCUGGAUGUAAACCCAGCAUUUGACUGCAGCUGACCCACUCAGGGACUUGUAAUUUAAGACCUGUUUCUGAUAGCACCAUUUUGCCUGUGGAAGUGGAGAUACACAACAGCAGGCAUGGUUGUGUGUGUUUUUGGGGUUUGAUGAAAGCAUCUCUGUGGGGUGUAUGUAAAUAAGCAAUGAACUGUGGUUCCCGUACAGCAGAGGGAAGGUCAUGCGCAAACAGGUGCUGCAGAUGCGUCUCUCGGGGCAUGGGAACAAGGGUCUAAAAGGUGAAAAUGAGAGUGCAAGCAUGAGGCCUUAUCAAACGGCUUUGAAGAGCACCAAUAAUCAGUUCAGGCAAAGAACUGGAUUCAGUCCACUCGUGCCUCCACACGUGGUUUUGAAGGUGAUUUCAGUGGGGCUUCUGCCCCCUGGCUCAGGUCUUUCCAGUUCUGGUAAACACAUGUGUUUCACUUGUUGAAUCAAGGCAAUAGCUUCACCAUCCUCCAUCAUGAGCUCAGACAUGCAGUUGAAGGAGCUUUUGCCUUCAGAUGAGCAACAGGAAACCUCUGCAU